rnacentral:ncRNA from 1 species
AUAAACACAAUGAACAGACGAAGUAAUCAAUAGCGUUUUUUAGAGAGAUUGCGGUUGGUGUAAGCAAUUAUUCGCUGUGAUGAAAUGCACCUGGGAGUGGUUUUGGCGCAAGUCAAAAACGGAGAAUAGACCGUUAGCUAUUUAAGGCAGAGUAUUUCUGUAAAUAAAAGUGGAACCACGCCAAACAAGCGUCUUUUAA